GACGAACGCUGGCGGCGUGCUUAACACAUGCAAGUCGAACGGUGAAGCUCCAGCUUGCUGGAGUGGAUCAGUGGCGAACGGGUGAGUAACACGUGAGCAACCUGCCCCUGACUCUGGAAUAAGCGCUGGAAACGGCGUCUAAUACUGGAUACGAGAAGGGUCCGCAUGGGCACUUUCUGGAAAGUUUUUCGGUUGGGGAUGGGCUCGCGGCCUAUCAGCUUGUUGGUGAGGUAAUGGCUCACCAAGGCGACGACGGGUAGCCGGCCUGAGAGGGCGACCGGCCACACUGGGACUGAGACACGGCCCAGACUCCUACGGGAGGCAGCAGUGGGGAAUAUUGCACAAUGGGCGGAAGCCUGAUGCAGCGACGCCGCGUGAGGGAUGACGGCCUUCGGGUUGUAAACCUCUUUCAGCAGGGACGAAGCGAAAGUGACGGUACCUGCAGAAGAAGCACCGGCUAACUACGUG
rnacentral:rRNA from 1 species